UGAGCAAUCUGCCCUUCUCAUCGGAAUAAGCGUUGGAAACGACGUCUAAUGCCGAAUACGACCUCCUUUCGCAUGAUCGGAGGUGGAAAGCUCCGGCGGAGAAGGAUGAGCUCGCGGCCUAUCAGCUAGUUGGUGUGGGUAAUGGCCCACCAAGGCGACGACGGGUAGCCGGCCUGAGAGGGUGACCCGGCCACACUGGGACUGAGACACGGCCCAGACUCCUACGGGAGCAG
rnacentral:rRNA from 1 species